rnacentral:rRNA from 1 species
AGCGGCGGACGGGUGAGUUUGGAGGGGGUAACCUGCCCUGUACACACGGAUAACAUACCGAAAGGUAUGCUAAUACGAGAUAAUAUGCUUUUAUCGCAUGGUAGAAGUAUCAAAGCUUUUGCGGUACAGGAUGGACCCGCGUCUGAUUAGCUAGUUGGUAAGGUAACGGCUUACCAAGGCGACGAUCAGUAGCCGACCUGAGAGGGUGAUCGGCCACAUUGGAACUGAGACACGGUCCAAACUCCUACGGGAGGCAGCAGUGGGGAAUAUUGCACAAUGGGCGAAAGCCUGAUGCAGCAACGCCGCGUGAGCGAUGAAGGCCUUCGGGUCGUAAAGCUCUGUCCUCAAGGAAGAUAAUGACGGUACUUGAGGAGGAAGCCCCGGCUAACUACGUGCCAGCAGCCGCGGUAAUACGUAGGGGGCUAGCGUUAUCCGGAAUUACUGGGCGUAAAGGGUGCGUAGGUGGUUUCUUAAGUCAGAGGUGAAAGGCUACGGCUCAACCGUAGUAAGCCUUUGAAACUGGGAAACUUGAGUGCAGGAGAGGAGAGUGGAAUUCCUAGUGUAGCGGUGAAAUGCGUAGAUAUUAGGAGGAACACCAGUUGCGAAGGCGGCUCUCUGGACUGUAACUGACACUGAGGCACGAAAGCGUGGGGAGCAAACAGGAUUAGAUACCCUGGUAGUCCACGCCGUAAACGAUGAGUACUAGCUGU